UCCUUAUCCAUUUGGUCUCUCCCGAUGCCGUCUCGCCCGCCCGAACACCCCUGCUCCAGGCCGCCGCUCGUGCUGUGUCCCAGUCGGCGCCCCUACUGCGGCCCAGGCUGGCGUCCUCGCUGUGCCCCGCACUGGUGCUAGCCUGCUAGGCGCUGCCCUCUACGCCCUCGCUCCGACACCGCGAGGCCCUGGAACACGCCUUGCAGCCCUGGCCGCUGCGAUCUGCUUGGUGCUGUCCUCGGUGAUAAGAGCUUGUGGACGGAGGACGGUGGAGCUCAUCCAUUUCCUGCAUCACAGCUCUAUGCCAGCAGCGCUCACGCAUGGAGGCGUAUCCUAGCAAGGGAGAAAGAGCACGGCACCGGCACAGAGCUUGGCUGGAUUCGCCUCUGGUAGUCUAGUGCCCAUCGAUUUGGUGAGUUGAAGGUUGCGGUGGUUGAUUUAGUGCUUGCCUGCGUGGGAAAUUGAAGCAGGUAGCUGCUUGCUUACUUCGUCUGUUCAGAGAUGCUGGUGCCGCUUGAUUUUUUUAUUUUUUAUUUUUGCUUGCCGAUUUGAGAAGAAGAGCAGCAGAGAGGGAUUGAAUUGAACGGAGAGAUUGAUACCUGUGCUUGGAUGGAUCGGAUGUGGCUUGCUUGCUUUGAAUUGAAUGGAGAGAGAAAAGAAGAGCUGGCGCUCUCGCUGGGCCUAGUCGUUCAUGGCUGCCCGGAGCUCAACCUCCAGUUGGCAGUGGCCACUGGCCAGGCGGCGGCGGCUGUAGGGACAAGAAGCUACUGGCUCUAGCUUGGGAAGAAGAUGUGAAGAGGUUGACGCCGUUUUCUCCAUCCGUCACAGAAUACUAUUUUUAGGUGACGGUUUACUUUUUGGAUGCUAUUUUACGGAAUGACAGAUUUUCAAUGGUUUAGCUGAGAAGUGGUGGUUAUCUCUCUUUCGGAUACCUUAUGGUUGCAAACCGUGUCAUCUCCACCUGACUGAUUUAGUACUCUCAACUAUUAAUUGGAUAGUAUUCUGAGCUACAUGCUAAAAUGUAAUAUAUGGCUUGGGCCCUAUUUAGUUCCCCCAAAAUCCCAACUUUGGCACUAUACAAAAAGAAGAUUCCCUA